GGCUCGAACUCAAAAACUGUGAGAUCAUAAUCUGAGCUGAAACCAAGAGUUGGACACUCAACCCACGGAGCCAGCCAGGCGCCCCUACCCCGAGUCUUUGACUUUCCAGGUUAGAUGCCCCAAUGUCAUCAGCGUUUUCCCCUCUCUGUGGGGCCCCUCCCAUUUCCCCUGUCCCACCACCUGCCCAUCGCACGGCCUGUAUGUCCCUUCCCUGCCCCUUCCCUGCCCACUCCCCGCAACCCCCUAGUCAGCGAUUCUUAGCAAGUGGUGAAAGGGUGGGAAGGGAACCAGGACUCCCUGAGACAAGGGUGCAAGCAGCAUCCUCCGGCCCGGGGCUGGCUUGGAGAAGACCUGUAUGUUCACACGGAUCCGGCAGAAUGAACUGAGGCACUGAGGAUGGGGUCCCUUUUUGCCACCCAACCCCGAGGCAUCGAGGAGAAUUUGGGGGUGGCUGGAAAUGACGGUCUAAAAAUGGCCCCGUCUCACUGCACGUACCUGAGUCACCUCUGACUCAGGCCCAUUUGCUGCUGGGGUGAGGGGAUUGGAAAGGUCUCUUUCGCCUCUCACACCCCUCGGCCUUCCCUCCCUCCUUCGCCCGCCCGGCCUGAAUGGAGAAAAGCGCUUCUAUUCAGGGAAAGGAUUCUCUGCCCUGCCCUGGCCGGCUAGCUGUCUUCGGGCACUCGCCCAGCCCCCCCUCCCCACCACCCCCGGCCCCGUCCAAAGGCCCGCUGUCUUCCAGGGUGAGGAUCCAGCCCGGUCUGGUUCCAAGGGUGGUAAGAACGCUGCCCGCUUCCUGCCCGGCGUGCUGCGGGCUGGGCCGGGCUCCGCGGCCAAGAGACUUACUCACUCGUGGAACAAUUUCUCCUCUAUAUGGAAAGAACAUAUGCUUUUCCUGCUGGGGGAAGAGAGGGUUUUGAGCAGCUUUGCCGAGACGUGUAGGAAAAGGCAAAUGUUGGCCUGGGCCCAGCACCCUGCUUUCAAGCCAUGUGCUGCGUGGUCGGUGGCAGAACACGUUGGCAUCCGAUCCCAGAGUUCGGGGCUCAGCCAUCCCAGCAGACCCCCCACCCAAGACCCUCAGUCUGAAGGAGGAGCUCGAGCCGUGGGGAGCCGGUAGGACCUGGCCGUUCAGAUCUCACUGCACCCAGGACUGGCUGGAGUCUAAAGAAAGGAGAGGCAGCUGUAAAAUAAAAAUUCUUUCUCUGUGAGCUAGCAUCUUUCCUCUAAGGGACAGGAAAGGGCUGGAAACAAGAGAUCGAGGCUGGCGCUCCUCUGUAAUGAGGAAACCCCAGGAGCCUGGACCGCAGUGCAGCCACAGGAAGGGCAGGACCUGGCCGGCAGCAGGCUGAAGGCCAGUCACUCCCCCCCCCCCCCCCCGCCCCCCCCCCCCAAUUGCUUCCGGGCUGGGCACUCCUGAGCAGUAGCCCCUCUGAGCUUCUGUUCCUGACCUGCAGACUGGGGAUAGUGAUAACCGCCCGGUGCAAGUGUCAGAGACAACGAUGUGAAGUGAUGGGAACAGAGGGACGCUCAGAGAAACACGGCCUUGAACCAAGAUGCGUCCCCGCUCUGAGCCGGGGCCUGGCUGCUGGCCAGGGUGGGGGAUGGGCACCGGGCCUGGAAACGCCUGCUGUGGCCGACUGUUUCUGGGUCCUCCAGGAACCGGGUGCCUUUUGUCCCGCCCUCUCUCGGGCCUGCCCCUUAUUCAAUUUAUUCACGUCAGUAAAUUGCGCCUCCUGGUGUA